rnacentral:rRNA from 1 species
GGAAUUUUGGGCAAUGGGCGAAAGCCUGACCCAGCAACGCCGCGUGAAGGAUGAAGUAUUUCGGUAUGUAAACUUCGAAAGAAUGGGAAGAAUAAAUGACGGUACCAUUUAUAAGCUCCGGCUAACUACGUUCCAGCAGCCGCGGUAAUACGUAGGGAGCAAGCGUUGUUCGGAUUUACUGGGCGUAAAGGGCGCGUAGGCGGCCUGUCAAGUCAACUGUGAAAUCUCCGGGCUUAACUCGGAACGGUCAGUUGAUACUGUCAGGCUAGAGUGCAGAAGGGGCAAUCGGAAUUCUUGGUGUAGCGGUGAAAUGCGUAGAUAUCAAGAGGAACACCUGAGGUGAAGACGGGUUGCUGGGCUGACACUGACGCUGAGGCGCGAAAGCCAGGGGAGCAAA